rnacentral:tRNA from 1 species
GGAAGGGUGCAGGAGUGGUUUAACUGGCGAUCCUGGAAAGAUCGUGUACCAGAAAUGGUACCGCGAGUUCGAAUCUCGCCCCUUCCG